rnacentral:sRNA from 15 species
AAUGCUUGCCUGUAGGAUCUCUCCUAAUCCCCUGGAGAAGAUCGUUGGAGCGGGGAUUCAUCCCCAAUCCCCGCUUCUGGCCUCGCCGACCUAAUCCCCUGGUCAGCGAGGCUUUUUA